UACGGAGGAUGCAAGCGUUAUCCGGAUUCACUGGGUUUAAAGGGUGCGUAGGCGGGUUUGUAAGUCAGUGGUGAAAGCCUGUAGCUUAACUACAGAAUUGCCAUUGAUACUGCAGAUCUUGAGUUCAGUUGAGGCAGGCGGAAUGUGCAGUGUAGCGGUGAAAUGCUUAGAUAUUGCACAGAACACCGAUUGCGAAGGCAGCUUGCUAAACUGAUACUGACGCUGAGUCACGAAAGCGUGGGGAGCAAACAGG
rnacentral:rRNA from 1 species